UACGGGGGGGCAAGCGUUGUUCGGAAUUACUGGCGUAAAGGGUUCGUAGGUGGCCAACUAAGUCUAGACGUGAAAUCCCUCAGCUUAACUCGGGGAACUGCGUCUGAUACUGGUUGGCUUGAGUGCAGGAGAGGAACGCGGAAUUCCAGGUGUAGCGGUGAAAUGCGUAGAUAUCUGGAGGAACACCGGUGGCGAAGGCGGCGUUCUGGACUGCAACUGACACUGAGGAACGAAAGCCAGGGAGCAAACGGG
rnacentral:rRNA from 1 species